rnacentral:lncRNA from 1 species
CUGGGGAUGACAACACACAUAUGAUAUUAAAUCAGUUCGGCAGAUGACGUGGCGUGGCGGCGUGGCGAGCCGGAUGCAAAACGGCCAAGGACGCUUAGCCAAGAGCGAAUUCCAGGGCACCGAGUGGCGAUGGGCUGCAGUGACUGGAGCGUUGAUAAUCGGGAUGACAGUGUCGAGAGGGCUCCGCAACAUUAGCUUUGUGCUCUGGGGGAUGCGUGCGUGGGGCCAGCGUAAUCACAGCCUAGAAGGCCCCGCUGUGCAAAACGCCUGUCCAAACCCCAACAAAUUUGACCCUCCUUCGUGAAGUCCGUGCGGAGCCUUGAAAGCGGUGAGGCUUCAGGCUGAAAAGCAGUGUGGAUUUCUGUGUUGGACCAGUGGGAAGCAGCCCAUCUGGGUCAAUACUUGCUCUUGGCCUUGCAGCUUUGAAAGUAGGGGAUAACGCCUGACCCUAGUGCCGGAGCGCGCGCAAGCGUUACAGCGCAGAAACGCACUGGUCACAGUUGCCCACCAUUUAGGAUAUUGAAACAUCCGCACUUGUAAUCUUGUCAUCACAAAGAGAACGUUCUUCAUGCUGGGAAGGUUUGCAAAGCCUUCAUCAGUUCGUCCCCACAUGCCGACGGCGUGGUUACCAGCCACUUCCUGCACAGCAUCAACGCCUUUAGCAUCAAUGGCUUUCUACAGCGCGGCGCAAAUAACCCUGAUGCUCCGAACUUACCUGUAACAAGUUAGCCAUGGUCACCAUAGUUGCCCGCUGGUCAGGGCUUACUUCAUAUCCCCGAAUCCUGUGCUCCUCCCGAAAUGCGCGCUUGUCCGGUAGGAAUGCUCCAGCAGAUGGCGCGGGAAACUGGCUGAUCACGACAUCGACCUCCGCCUCCGUCUCAGUCUCCGGCUCAGUCAACAAAGUCCGACGAGAAGGCACAGCGUAUACAGCGCAUGGCUCACUGUUCGACAGGUAUGGCCGCACAGCCCUCCAAAAGGGCUGACGAAGUGCCGAUUUUGGCACACGAACUGAGGCAUUCCUAUUCGAAAGCAGCGACGCAGUCAUCAUUUUUGCAUAUGUGUUUAAGGCUGUGAGUUAAAGCGCUUAAGUUGCAAUAGUGUUCUAUGGUGAGGGGGCUGGCGUACGUUUUCUGGUUGACUUUCUGGUAAUCGGUUCGAUCAGCUCAAUUAUCAUCAUCAUCAUCCGUCGUUUUCGCAACCGUUUGAAGAGCCUUGAACGGUUAUCCUUUGCCUACUGUUUGUUAUUUCAAUCAUGUACAGGUAGACACGUAAAAGCACUGGCUGGCACGAAACCCAUGAGUUAUCCGGAAUUCCAGAGAACAGGAAGGCAAUCUUGUGCAGUUGGGCCGGACGGCUUUGGUAAUAAACAGGGCGCUGCUGUGCGCGUGUGCCUAGCUGGUGAGUUACAGAGCUUCCAGCAUUACAUUGGGACAUGUCACGCGCGAUAGGCUUAUGUAUCGGUAACCUGCGACAGGCUGGUACCCUGAGUGCUUUCUUGCAUUAGGGUUGACAGGCUUGCUGACUUGUUGGAAACAUGCUGUCGUGUUCAUUGAUGUGCAGUGCGGGUCCUAAUACCUGGCCUUGAAAAUCAGCACGUAAAGGGCGUUGCAAAUCUUCCUGCAGAAAACCCAAAUGCGUGUGUGACACGUGGCCAUCAGCUUGUGCGUUCCAGAGCGCUGUCCGCUAUGCUUAGUUUUAAAGACCCCUUCCCUACCGAUAAUGUUUGCAAAAAAUAGUGAAGUCUGCUCUUUUUUUGUUUUGGCACGACGCGCUUUGGGAAGGAGAGGUAUCGGCGUGUGGAUGUCACAAAAAUCUCCCUCAGGGAGAAUCUCUCCUGGAAUAAAACAACUAGCAGGCUUACACUUCUCCACAGCAAGCAGUGGACAUACUGAUCUGUGAUCUGGGGGGUGGUAAUCCUGGCGUUUUUCUGGCCACAUUUCUGGCCACAUUUCGAUUAAGCAAGGGAGUACCCACGCUGUGCUGUAAUGAACUGGGAAGGAGCUGACUGGUUGAACGGCG